rnacentral:hammerhead_ribozyme from 1 species
AUCUAGCUGACGAGUCUCAAAUAAGACAAAACGUGCGUCCUGGAU